rnacentral:rRNA from 1 species
AUUGAACGCUGGCGGCAUGCCUUACACAUGCAAGUCGAACGGCAGCACGGGAGCAAUCCUGGUGGCGAGUGGCGAACGGGUGAGUAAUGCAUCGGAACGUGCCAUUGAGUGGGGGGAUAACGUAGCGAAAGUUACGCUAAUACCGCAUAUUCUGUGCGCAGGAAAGCAGGGGAUCGCAAGACCUUGCGCUCUUUGAGCGGCCGAUGUCGGAUUAGCUAGUUGGUAGGGUAAAGGCCUACCAAGGCAACGAUCCGUAGCGGGUCUGAGAGGAUGAUCCGCCACACUGGGACUGAGACACGGCCCAGACUCCUACGGGAGGCAGCAGUGGGGAAUUUUGGACAAUGGCGCAAGCCUGAUCCAGCCAUGCCG